ACCAGACUCCUACGGGAGGCAGCAGUGAGGAAUAUUGGUCAAUGGCCGAGAGGCUGAACCAGCCAAGUCGCGUGAGGGAAGAAUGUCCUAAGGAUUGUAAACCUCUUUUGUCGGGGAGCAAAAAGGCUCUGCGGAGUCGUAUUGAGAGUACCCGAAGAAAAAGCAUCGGCUAACUCCGUGCCAGCAGCCGCGGUAAUACGGAGGAUGCGAGCGUUAUCCGGAUUUAUUGGGUUUAAAGGGUGCGUAGGCGGUAUUUUAAGUUAGUGGUAAAACGUCGGGGCUUCACCUUGAUUGGCCAUUAAAACUGGAGUACUAGAGUACAGACGAGGUAGGCGGAAUAAGUUAAGUAGCGGUGAAAUGCUUAGAUAUAACUUAGAACCCCGAUAGCGAAGGCAGCUUACCAGACUGUUACUGACGCUGAAGCACGAGAGCGUGGGUAGCGAACAGGAUUAGAUACCCCCGUA
rnacentral:rRNA from 1 species